rnacentral:rRNA from 1 species
AUACGUAGGUGGCAAGCGUUGUCCGGAUUCACUGGGUGUAAAGGGCGCGUAGGUGGGUAAAUAAGUCAGAUGUGAAAUACCGGGGCUUAACUUCGGGGCUGCAUUUGAAACUGUUUAUCUUGAGUAUCGGAGAGGCAGGCGGAAUUCCUAGUGUAGCGGUGAAAUGCGUAGAUAUUAGGAGGAACACCAGUGGCGAAGGCGGCCUGCUGGACGACAACUGACACUGAGGCGCGAAAGCGUGGGGAGC